ACCCAUAGGAUGGACCAACCCAAAGGAUGAAUUAGCAUGAUGAACCAACAAACGAAUGAAUCAACGAACAAACCAAAGUAACUCAUCAGAAUGUAUAGUGGAGACCAACUCACAAAAGGGCUUGUUGUUGUCCAACGAAUACAAAUGUGAUAAGGUAGCACGUUGGACCAAGUUCAGACGGACCGACUGCCUCAUCAAGAGAAGGAGUACAAUUUUCCUUCGUCAAGUGGCGCCAUCCGUGGGAAAUCAGAAUAAUGUCCAUUCAACAUCUUAAAAUACGUCUAGCAGGAAUAACUAAUUUUUCGAACAUCUCAUGUUUUUUAAUCUCAAAAAAUUAUUCCGUAUAUGAAUCUA